UACGUAGGGUGCGAGCGUUGUCCGGAAUUAUUGGGCGUAAAGGGCUCGUAGGCGGUCUGUCGCGUCAGGAGUGAAAACUCGGGGCUUAACCCCGAGCCUGCUUCUGAUACGGGCAGACUAGAGGUAUGCAGGGGAGAACGGAAUUCCUGGUGUAGCGGUGAAAUGCGCAGAUAUCAGGAGGAACACCGGUGGCGAAGGCGGUUCUCUGGGCAUGAUCUGACGCUGAGGAGCGAAAGUGUGGGGAGCGAACAGG
rnacentral:rRNA from 1 species